UCCUCGUUGCCGGGGCAGUCUGAUUAGAAAAAUACAACUAAUCAUAAGGGUUGCGCUCGUUGCGGGACUUAACCCAACAUCUCACGACACGAGCUGAAGACGGCCAUGCAGCACCUGUCACCACGUUCCUUGCGGCACAAUCUCCUUUCGGAGAUCUUCGUGGGAUGUCAAGCCCUGGUAAGGUUCUUCGUUUAUCAUCGAAUUAAAGAACACGCUCCACCGCUUGUGCGGGUCCCCGUCAAUUCCUUUGAGUUUUAGCCUUGCGGCCGUACUCCUCAGGCGGGAUGCUUAACGCGUUAGCUUCGCUCCUGAACGGGUCGAUACGUCCAAGUAGCUAGCAUCCAUAGUUUACGGCGUGGACUAC
rnacentral:misc_RNA from 1 species